AGCGCAUACGGUGGAUGCCUUGGCAGUCAGAGGCGAUGAAAGACGUGGUAGCCUGCGAAAAGCUUCGGGGAGUCGGCAAACAGACUGUGAUCCGGAGAUGUCUGAAUGGGGGAACCCAGCCAUCAUAAGAUGGUUAUCUUGUACUGAAUACAUAGGUGCAAGAGGCGAACCAGGGGAACUGAAACAUCUAAGUACCCUGAGGAAAAGAAAUCAACCGAGAUUCCCUUAGUAGUGGCGAGCGAACGGGGACCAGCCCUUAAGUUGUAUUGAGAUUAGCGGAACACUCUGGAAAGGGUGGCCAUAGUGGGUGAUAGCCCUGUACGCGAAAAUCCCUUUGCAAUGAAAUCGAGUAGGACGGGGCACGAGAAACCUUGUCUGAAUAUGGGGGGACCAUCCUCCAAGGCUAAAUACUACUGACUGACCGAUAGUGAACCAGUACCGUGAGGGAAAGGCGAAAAGAACCGCGGAGAGCGGAGUGAAAUAGAUCCUGAAACCGUAUGCGUACAAGCAGUGGGAGCCCACUUUGUUGGGUGACUGCGUACCUUUUGUAUAAUGGGUCAGCGACUUAUUUUCAGUGGCGAGCUUAACCGAAUAGGGGAGGCGUAGCGAAAGCGAGUCUUAAUAGGGCGUCUAGUCGCUGGGAAUAGACCCGAAACCGGGCGAUCUAUCCAUGGGCAGGUUGAAGGUUGGGUAACACUAACUGGAGGACCGAACCGACUACCGUUGAAAAGUUAGCGGAUGACCUGUGGAUCGGAGUGAAAGGCUAAUCAAGCUCGGAGAUAGCUGGUUCUCCUCGAAAGCUAUUUAGGUAGCGCCUCAUGUAUCACUGUAGGGGGUAGAGCACUGUUUCGGCUAGGGGGUCAUCCCGACUUACCAAACCGAUGCAAACUCCGAAUACCUACAAGUGCCGAGCAUGGGAGACACACGGCGGGUGCUAACGUCCGUCGUGAAAAGGGAAACAACCCAGACCGUCAGCUAAGGUCCCAAAGUCAUGGUUAAGUGGGAAACGAUGUGGGAAGGCUUAGACAGCUAGGAGGUUGGCUUAGAAGCAGCCACCCUUUAAAGAAAGCGUAAUAGCUCACUAGUCGAGUCGGCCUGCGCGGAAGAUGUAACGGGGCUCAAACCAUGCACCGAAGCUACGGGUAUCAUCUUAGGAUGAUGCGGUAGAGGAGCGUUCUGUAAGCCUGUGAAGGUGAGUUGAGAAGCUUGCUGGAGGUAUCAGAAGUGCGAAUGCUGACAUGAGUAACGACAAUGGGUGUGAAAAACACCCACGCCGAAAGACCAAGGUUUCCUGCGCAACGUUAAUCGACGCAGGGUUAGUCGGUCCCUAAGGCGAGGCUGAAAAGCGUAGUCGAUGGAAAACAGGUUAAUAUUCCUGUACUUCUGGUUAUUGCGAUGGAGGGACGGAGAAGGCUAGGCCAGCCUGGCGUUGGUUGUCCAGGUUUAAGGUGGUAGGCUGAGAUCUUAGGUAAAUCCGGGAUCUUAAGGCCGAGAGCUGAUGACGAGUGUUCUUUUAGAACACGAAGUGGUUGAUGCCAUGCUUCCAAGAAAAGCUUCUAAGCUUCAGGUAACCAGGAACCGUACCCCAAACCGACACAGGUGGUUGGGUAGAGAAUACCAAGGCGCUUGAGAGAACUCGGGUGAAGGAACUAGGCAAAAUGGCACCGUAACUUCGGGAGAAGGUGCGCCGGUGGAGGUGAAGCAUUUACUGCGUAAGCCCCUGCCGGUCGAAGAUACCAGGCCGCUGCGACUGUUUAUUAAAAACACAGCACUCUGCAAACACGAAAGUGGACGUAUAGGGUGUGACGCCUGCCCGGUGCCGGAAGGUUAAUUGAUGGGGUUAGCGCAAGCGAAGCUCUUGAUCGAAGCCCCGGUAAACGGCGGCCGUAACUAUAACGGUCCUAAGGUAGCGAAAUUCCUUGUCGGGUAAGUUCCGACCUGCACGAAUGGCGUAACGAUGGCGGCGCUGUCUCCACCCGAGACUCAGUGAAAUUGAAAUCGCUGUGAAGAUGCAGUGUAUCCGCGGCUAGACGGAAAGACCCCGUGAACCUUUACUAUAGCUUUGCACUGGACUUUGAAUUUGCUUGUGUAGGAUAGGUGGGAGGCUUUGAAGCGUGGACGCCAGUCUGCGUGGAGCCAACCUUGAAAUACCACCCUGGCAACUUUGAGGUUCUAACUCAGGUCCGUUAUCCGGAUCGAGGACAGUGUAUGGUGGGUAGUUUGACUGGGGCGGUCUCCUCCUAAAGAGUAACGGAGGAGUACGAAGGUGCGCUCAGACCGGUCGGAAAUCGGUCGUAGAGUAUAAAGGCAAAAGCGCGCUUGACUGCGAGACAGACACGUCGAGCAGGUACGAAAGUAGGUCUUAGUGAUCCGGUGGUUCUGUAUGGAAGGGCCAUCGCUCAACGGAUAAAAGGUACUCCGGGGAUAACAGGCUGAUACCGCCCAAGAGUUCAUAUCGACGGCGGUGUUUGGCACCUCGAUGUCGGCUCAUCACAUCCUGGGGCUGAAGCCGGUCCCAAGGGUAUGGCUGUUCGCCAUUUAAAGUGGUACGCGAGCUGGGUUUAGAACGUCGUGAGACAGUUCGGUCCCUAUCUGCCGUGGACGUUUGAGAUUUGAGAGGGGCUGCUCCUAGUACGAGAGGACCGGAGUGGACGAACCUCUGGUGUUCCGGUUGUCACGCCAGUGGCAUUGCCGGGUAGCUAUGUUCGGAAAAGAUAACCGCUGAAAGCAUCUAAGCGGGAAACUUGCCUCAAGAUGAGAUCUCACUGGAACCUUGA
rnacentral:rRNA from 2 species